UACGGAGGGUGCAAGCGUUAUCCGGAUUUACUGGGUUUAAAGGGUGCGUAGGCGGACAGGUAAGUCCGUGGUGAAAUCUCUGAGCUUAACUCAGAAACUGCCAUGGAUACUAUUUGUCUUGAAUACUGUGGAGGUAAGCGGAAUAUGUCAUGUAGCGGUGAAAUGCUUAGAUAUGACAUGGAACACCAAUUGCGAAGGCAGCUUACUACACAGCUAUUGACGCUGAGGCACGAAAGCGUGGGGGAUCAAAACAGG
rnacentral:rRNA from 1 species